rnacentral:rRNA from 1 species
GUUAGGAAUAUUGGACAAUGGACGCAAGUCUGAUCCAGCCAUGCCGCGUGAGUGAUGAAGGCCUUCGGGUUGUAAAGCUCUUUAGCCGAUGAUUAUAAUGACUGUAGUCGGAAAAUAAGCCCCGGCUAACUUCGUGCCAGCAGCCGCGGUAAUACGAAGGGGGCGAGCGUUAUUCGGAAUCACUGGGCGUAAAGCGUGCGUAGGCGGUUUUGUAAUUUGGGAGUGAAAGCCCAGGGCUCAACCCUGGAAUUGCUCUCAAAACUACAAGACUUGAAUUCGGGAGAGGAUAGCGGAAUUGUCAGUGUAGCAGUGAAAUGCGUAGAUAUUGACAGGAACACCAGUGGCGUAAGCGGCUAUCUGGACCGACAUUGACGCUGAGGCACGAAAGCGUGGGGAUCAAACAGGAUUAGAUACCCUGGUGGUCC